rnacentral:ncRNA from 2 species
CAAACGCUUCGGGGCAAGGUGAAAUUCCUUACCGGCGGUGAUCGAGCAAUGGCUCGUCAGUCCGUGACCCGUCCUUCCUCCUUGGAAGGCGGUGGAGCUGGUGAAACUCCGGCACCGACAGUUACAGUCUGGAUGGGAGAAGCGAUUU